CCGCCUCUCCUCAGUCUCAUUCAGCUCGUCCUUCGCCUGGGGCAGGGUGGAGGGAGACCAGUGCCUGAAUCAGGAACGGGUGUGCUUAUGUGGAUAGGACCUCAGCUGCACAGCAUCCUGGAGGGGAGCAGGGCUGGAAGCCACAGCUGCUGUCUCAAAGGCUCUCCCUACCCGCUCUGCUGGCCAGCAGGGACACCUUGCAAUGACCCCAAAACCCACUUUAGGUGGCAGAGAGAUGGGAUUUGCUCCCAGGGGACGAGGCAGCUGAGUCUAGGGAGUAUUCCCACUGCCUCUGGCUGUGUGCCCUAUAGCACCUACAUGCUAGUGAGGAUCAUGGCAUCAAUCCAGAAGAGAGACCAGGGUCUGACCAGAGCCAUAGGAGCAAUGUGGGGCUAAGAGUCUUAUGGGGUGAUGGGCAAUGGAAGAUCUUCAGCGCUGGAUCAGUCAAAGGAGCCCCCUUCCUCUUGCAGGAAGGGGCUGGCCCCAUCUGCCUGGUACCCAGGCUGUCUCUCCCCACCCCUCUUCCAAGCUCUCACCUUCUGCAGGGUGUGUGAAGGGAUUUUCUCACACUUGCCAAAGAUAGGGCCAUGGUCCUUGAUGGUGAGUCGCUCGAGUUUGGCACGAAGGGCCUGCUCCUCCUCAGAGACAACUCGAAACGUUCCAGUCUGGAGCAAAGCCACAGCAAGAAGAGAUAGCGUGAGGAGUCUUCCCCUCUGUGACCUGCUCCAGGCCUAAGGCAGCCCUGAGCACACCACCAGCGCUGGCACCAGAAAGAUGCCCAUGGGGCCUGGACCAGCAUCCUGCGCUGACUUCGGGUUAAGUGACUUCUCUGGCACCAGAGGUAAUGGUCUGUGCUGGGGUCCGGCGAGGGAGCUCCCUCUGGCUGUGAGGAAGGCUCAGGUGGGUGCUGAGUUUUGAUGGGCAGAGGUUGCAAUGGGGCCUGUGUCAGGGUCAGAUACGGGCAAGGGUUCCCUAUGCUGGGGGGGGCGGCACUUAGCAUGGGUUGAAUACUAGGAAACCUGGUUCCUCUCUGAAGGAAGCCUGCUGGCCUGAGGCUGGCGGACUGUGCUAGCAGUUCAGCUUUGCACUUGGGAGUACCUGUGCCAAGGGCCUGGCAAGGUUUGGUGGGUGCUGUUCAAGAGCUGCAGAGAAAAAUGCAGUCCGUGCUGUCUUUUGGGCCACAGAAAUACAUAGGUCAGUAUGGCCAGGGAAGCUAAAUCCACAUGAACUCAGUACAGUUGUGGUGCUGCCCCCAGGCUGGGCACCACACAGCCAGGGAAGCCAGUGGUACUGCUCAGCAUGGGUGACCUGCUAGUUUCAAAGCCAGAAAAGGCCAGGGAGAGUGAGGCAGGAGGACAGUGUGGGGCAGGAGGGGCUAAAUCUCCCGUCAGUCAUAGCUAUAGACCCACAUGCUGGACAUAAGGCAGUCUCUGGGGCGGGAUAGCCAACCCACGCAGCUUCUCCAGGCUGCUCUGGAGAAGCUUGCACGUCAUCCCCAGAGUUCCCACUGUGCCUGCUCUGUGUACUGUCCCCUAGUGAACUUCAUUUAAGCGCUUCUGUGGCAAGCUGCUAGAGUUCUGCCCAUACCAGUCUCUCGAGAAGCUUAUUAACAGCAGUGCCGAUCCAGCCCUGCUGUUCACCUGGAUCACCUUGCCUGGCUGGAUUCGGGCUACCAUGACAUUGCACCGGCCUGACACUGAGGUCCUGAAAGAGACAAGGAAGAAUUCUCCAUGAGGCAUCUGCACAGCCCAAAGCACCUGCCCUGCUAGGAGCCCUGGCCUGGCCACUUCCACAGGAAUCAGGAGAAGGGAUGUAAAUGGGAUUCGCCAUUGGAUGCCCAGCUCCCCCUCAGCUCACUCGGAGGUGCAAAGGACUUGCUGUUCCCCCUUGGAGCUUCGUAGAGGAGAGUCGCACAGUUGGAAGUAAUCACGAGGCCUCACAGACCCCAGGAGCUCAGACAGGCUGGUUCCAUCUUAACCUUGUUCUUUCCUGAAGACAGAAAUGCCUAGCUCCGCUACUUUUAGGCAGAGGGAGGCAUUCAAUGCAGCCUGGGCUGUUACAAGUGCAUGGGGCUGGCUGGACUCGGCAAUUAACCCAUCACACAUCUGUUUGGGCUGGGGAAUGUUCCCAGUCUGAGGCACCUGAGGAAGGUCCCGGCAGCACAGCAGGGAUCUCAGACAGACCUGAGAUUCCUCUGAAGACCCUCUUCAGGAUGGCCCUAGCUAAUGUCUGGCAGCAGUCCCAAGGGUGGCAGGCUGGUUUUCAGGCAGGUGGUUCUGGGAAUGAGGCACCUUCCUGCUUCUGAUUCUUUUCUUUGUGAACUUCAGUAUUCUCUGUACUCUAAUGCAAGGGCUAAUCCCUAAGGAUCUUUGCAGGGAGGUGAAGAGAAAUAUAGAGCAUCCUGCUGUAAUCCAGAGCAGCUACUUCAGUUUAUGUUCUCAAUGAGGGGCAGCUGCCCUGACCUAUCUGAGCUUCUCCCUUCUGUUUCUAACAACUCUUGAGCCCUAAAGGAUCCCAAAGCGCUUCAAAAGCUGUGAAACAAAUGCUUGACUUCACUGGGGUCAUGCAAGUAUAACAGAGAGCAGACCUUGGUGCUCUGUCCAGAGAUCAUUUCACAUGCUCUCGAGGUGCCUGCACGUUCCAGUCCGGUGGUGCCCUUGUGCAGCCCUGCCAGUGCACUUUGCUCCUGAGCUGCACAACCCCUUUGCUGCCCCUGUCCUGAGCCAGGACCUCAGCUCUGUGAUGGGACUUUGCCCCACUGGACAGCAAACCAGUUCAGGAUCUCUUCCAAGAAUUGUCAGGUGGAUGUCCUUGGAUACAGAUAAGAGGAUGCCCAAGAGCUUGCUGUGUGGUUUCCGUUUGGCAUGUACUAGAAAGCAAAUAAUUCUCCCUUAUCAGUCCUUGCCGUGUAGCCCCUGAAUCUCUGUGUGUUGUUUGUCCAUUUCUCUCUUACCUCCUGGAUGUGGGAUGAAGUUUCUGCUUGACUUUCUGAUUGAGUCCUCAAAUACUGAAAAUAGACGCCUCGUCCCCAGAGCCCAUCCGCCCUCUUCCCAAAGGCUGCUCAAGCCUGGAAGCCUUCCUACAGGUAUCUUGAGCAGGAGCAAGAAGCCCUGAUGGGCAGCUACUGAAGGAAGCUGUUGGUCAGAGUGCAGCAGGGAGGACAAGCCGUAAACCCCAGUGUCGUCUUUGCUCACUGACCCUGCUUCUGAUUCAGACACGAUCUGAGCAGCAGAGAAGGAGGAUUGGCAGCAGCAGCAUCCAGGGCUCAGUCCUGCGGACCAUCCACCCAUCCAGAGUAGGGGAAGCAAAUGGACCUGAAGUUCAAACCCAUGCAGGACAUUACAGUGCUUUCCUCUCUCCGUUGGCUCUCAGGUCAUUGAACUGUCUUCCCCUGAAAGGGCACCAGAGCUCUCUUUCUUGAGGCUUUUCAAACUAGGACUGGGCAAAGCCUGAGAGAACGGACUAUAGGGCACAAUCCUAUGUUGUCCUCCCCUGCUCUCCAUUCCCCGCUUCCCGCCCUCACACUAAUGGGGGGCCUGGAUUAAUAUCUCUGAUACUAAGAGCCCAGAAAGAGUCCCGACUACUCACCAGAGACAAGAGAAGCUGAACCGUCCUGGAGGAGUCAGGGCGUGAGGCUAUGAGGCACUAGAACAGGGAGAGAGAGUCAAGUGAGAGGCCUGAAUGCAGCAGGAAGAAACCUGGGCAAAAGCUUUGUAGUCACCGGGCUGGGAUUAGGCCGUCACAAGGCAUCGCUCACAGCUGCUUUUUAAUUAAGUCAGCACAAAAACAGGCAAGAGACCCCAUUAAACAUUGCAACAGGCAGAUAAGGAGAGGGAGGGAGCGGGGAAGGGGGCAAGAGGCCUCUUGGCUGGCAGGAGCGUGUGUGGAGGAGGGGGAGCCGGGGCGAUUCUAAGACCGAUUAGUGAAGUAUAAAAGCCGCUUAUUGUGUGAGAGGGCCACGCUCAUUAGUGUUCGGCACUGGGGAAAGGAGACCGGGGUGGAGGAUGUGGGCUGACAGCUUCUCCUCUCCCCCAGAGAAACCGUCUCUCUUGUCCUCACACACUGAAGGGGAUCCCUGCCUAAGCUGCAGGCUGGAUGGGAGGGAUGGGGAUGGAGCUGGGACAGGGGCUUUGGGGAGGUUGUUCUUCCUGGGUCUGUCUGCUUCCCAAGGGCUGCGGGGAAGGUAAUCGGCAUGGCCGGGUCAUUCAUGAUUCCAAUCCUUGGGUUUGUGAAUGGUUUGCUUGCCAAUCUGUGAGUGAAUUUGGCCUUGUGACUGAGUAGGGAGUUGGCCACCGGGACCAAACUGAGGGACAGCAUGUGGGGGUAAUGGGCAGCCUUCCCCACAUAGCUCUGCCCAUGCCCCGCCAUCCUAGCCUCUGCCACUCCAAGGCCUAUGCUUCACCACACAUUGCUCUGCCGCUUCCCCUGAGUGCACGUGUGUGGCUCGCUCCUUUUUCACACUGAAAUGUGGCUGGAGCGUGUUAAUCAUCCUGCUGCAGAGAGAGGAUACGUAUGGGUGAAGUUCUGCCUAUCAUGCCGACUUAUAAAGCAGACCCUGACUUAGUAAAAUUGCCAAACAGCCCAGAUGCAAUGCACAAUGGCUUUGCAGGAUCAAUAUAGGCUUGAAAGACAGCCAGCCUCUCCUGAUCUUGGCUGCCAAGACAAGAAAGUGGCUUUCCACACAGGGAGGAGGUGAUCUUACCUCAACGUGUCACA